AUGACGAACGAUGUCAAUCUCAUGUACCAGAAGUACGUUGCCGAGUUGGACACGAUUACGCCUGAGCAGGUGGAAUGGCAGCCAUAUGGCGCCGAUGACAGACUUGGGUACACCCUGGAGUUUAGCAUCAACCCGAUGUGCUUGCGGGAUAGGUAUCUCUGGCUUAUGCGGUGCCCACUGAUAUGCAACUGGGCUAUUGAGUUUCAUUUGCCACAUCGCGUGUUUCGUCAGUUUGGUCUGUUCCAGCCUCACCCGCCGGAAUGGGUGGAUACUGACAAAGCACUUCAUAGGUUGGACAGGAGAAGGCAGCGGAAGAUAAAGGACUGGGACAAGCAUCAUGCUUCGUAUGUUACCCGCUUCCAGCUUUGCAUGGAGCAAGCUCGUAGCAGUGCACGCGCCCAGCUUCGUGAGCAUAACCCACUUGCUUUUGAUAACUACAUACGAUGGCUUCUUGAAAAUACUCGAGUUGAGAUAUGCCCGCCAGCAUAUAAUGAGGAUAUUCUUGAAGAACCCGUAAACUUUGAGGAUCUAUCAAAGUGGAAGUACAACAGAGAUGUCAGGGUAGGGCAAGGAGUCCCUGCUGUUCCGGUGAUUAACUAUGUGGUAAAGUGUUCCUUCUUUACUUUCCCGUUGGCCGUACUACACAUGUUUGAAUGGCUAACGUGUUCAUUCUUUCUCAUCCGCAACGCACCGAGAUCAAGAAAGCAGCUGAUGAGAGCCAGUCUAUUCUCGAGAACACACCAGUUGGAAAAGGCAAUGAUGAUGGUUCACUACGAGCAUUCCUCAAGCGUCAGGCCAAGAAGUUAA
rnacentral:rRNA from 1 species